rnacentral:sRNA from 1 species
UGGGCUGGUCCGCGGUGAUUGCAGGGGA